rnacentral:sRNA from 1 species
GCCCAGAUUUUUCACUCUCCAUGAACUAUGCAUUCCGAUAGAUCCUCUACCAUCUUCAAACCUAAAAUCUCUCAUUAGGAUGGAUUUAGUCAACUGAUUUUCUUGAUUGAUCACCAAGUUUACAAAGACUGUGAAACAGAACAAGGAAGAGAGCCUUCUCAAGAUUGACUAGCCUCAUCAGCAACAUGAAUACAAAGAGGCAAGAAGAUAAUUAUGAACCUGAGAUAUUUGUGUAUAUAUUUCAUGUCAAUGUCUUAUCAAAGAGCCUUUUGAUUCCUUCAUUGCCAUGGUCAGGUCUCUGUCUAUCAAUCAUGGUAAUCCUAUUAACAUUAACAGCACAAAUACCUACAUAGGUAUAGGCAGUGCAACAGGCAUAUAAAGAAUUGGCAGGAAGAAAUAGUGCGCAGGGGAAGUGACAUGCCAACUUUAUCCUGUAGAGGACAAUGCAGUGCAACAAGAAAUAAAACAAAAUAAAACAGGAACUUGAUAAGUCCCUGAUUUUGCUAGCUGGAC